UACAGUGAAAAAUUGAUUUAACUCCAGAACAUUUCCGUAUGAAUAUUUUUUACAACUUUCAACAUGGAUGGAUGGCGGAUGCACAAUAACAGUGCAUCGAUGAACUUAAUUCGACUUUUGGCAAUGAAGCAUCAUCAAAAACCACUGUGUAUCGGUAUUUUACGGAUUUCAAUCAUGGUUGUGUCCCACUCACUCAUGAAUUUCGUGAGGUCGUCCAAAAUCGGUUGUUCCAGACAAUAAUGAUACUGUGGGGUGCGUGAACAAAGUCUGUGGCGUGAACUGAUAUGUGAGUUAUCCAUAGAUUACAGAGAGUUGACUUAUCGUGCGAUUGAGGAAUCCUUGAGCAUUAAUGGGACCAGCAUACAAGAACAUUUGUCCGCCAAAAAAAAUUGUUCUCAAGAACUACGAUCGUGGUGCUUCAAAACAUUGUAACAUGGAUCAUGGAUCUAUGCAUAUGAACUCGAAAAAUAUCUGAUGAACUCGGCUUGGCCAUCGAUACCAUCAUAGAUCUGGAGGCUUUGGUGCCAAGCACAAGCUCAUCCAAGGCGGCUAACCGAAAGAUACAGGAUGAUGGUGAUGACGUCUUUCAAAAUCCACCGCCACUCUGGAAGCUCCAGCAUUUUCUUCCAGGCAAAUAUUAAAAAAAUCCGAUCGCUUUCACCGACGCUCUCCACCUCUUCGUCUACCAACACCUCAGACGAUGGACGUGUGGACAGAAGUCACUGAGGGUUCACAGAGUUUUUUGUAAAAACUGGAUAUGUGGUAACAUUAGUGCAAUGUUGUACGGUCAAUUCUGAAUGGUACACAACCAUUUGUUUGCCAGAAGUCAGAAAAUAAGGGAAACCAAUCGCCGAAGGCGCAACAUUCUCCACCAGGAUAAUGAGGGCUCUCACACGUCGGCUCAAACAAGAGACUUUUUGAGAAUUGAGAAAGUCGAAUUGAUGAGCCAUCCACCUUACAGCCCUGAUUUGACACCCAAUGACUUUUAUUCCCACACAUCAAAAAUAAAUUACGGGGUCGCUUUUCGGUGCCUGAAGAAGCGAAAUGGAAAAAAUGCUUCAAAAAUUGAUUCAAGUGCAUGUAAAAGUGUAUUGAUCAUCAUGGAGAAUAUUUCGAAAAACAAUAAAGCCGUUUAUAAUGA